rnacentral:snoRNA from 1 species
AAGACUAUACUUUCAGGGGUCAUUCCUUUAGUUCGAUAAUAGGGAAGUUUGUUCGAUCACAUCCAGUGCCCGAAACCACUAGGAGCCAGAGCAUCCUCUCUGAGCUGCUUCUAGGUGUCGCUUCUGCACCUGCCUUUCAUCAGAUGAUCAUUCUUCUCUUCCUUUGGAAGAGGGAAAGGGUGAGGAUGCAGUCUGAGUGG